UUAAAGACAAGUGAGCUGGAUGUCCCAAAUUUUGUUGCUGAGCUUCUUACCAUGGUUACAAGUGAGAAUGAGUAUGUGCAAGAAUACAGAGCUCGUUUUGAGAUAAAAACAAACAGCUUGAAGUGUAUUUUGAACUCGAUGGACUCGGAAUGGGAUAGAAAAUGUGCAAAACUUUUAAUUGCAGCAAACCGGUCAAGAAAGGAAAUUGAAGAGCUUGGCAUUCAUCCUGAUUCUUUGGUGAAAAGUAUGCAAAAUGUAAAAGCUAUUACCGAGGAAAUAGAAAGAGCUAAGGUUGCUGCAGGUGACUGUGUUAUGUUACGUUUGCGAGAUAAGACAGAACAUCUGAAAUCUCAAAUAGAUGGAUAUACAUCGCUCAUUGGAAAGAAAAAAUGGUGUUUGGAAAGAUCAUCUGAUAAGUGAAGUCAAGGAUAAAUUGGAUAUUGCAAAGGAGCAACUUGAUGACAAUGCAAAAUACAUUAAAUGUCUUGAGAACCCAGAUGAAGCUGACAAGUAUGUGAAGCAGAAAAUACAACAGAGAGUAAAACGCACAGCAGAAAAUCUGGUAGAGUCUCACAGGAUGAAAAAACGAAAACUGGGUGCUGGUCCUAAUCAACAACUUGAUUCUUCAGAUGAAGAGUUCAUAGCCAAAGCUAUUGAAGAUAAAGCCACUUACCAUGGCAGGAGGCAUAAUCCUGUGAUGUUCACAAAUAGACGCGUGAAGAAGGGAGAUCUACUGACAAUUGCUAAUUACAGGCUACUCCAGAAAGGCAAGAAGUUAAUAAAGUCUGCCACAACCCCUUGGAACAGAUCCCGUCCAAAAAACGUCAGAAGUCGUCAAGCAAAAUUGCAUAUUGGCAAAGGGUUAUUUUGCACAAAAAAGCCACCGAAAGCAGAAGAUUGUGAUAACGAAAACACUCAUCAUCAGCGAAGUCACUGUAAAAAUGUCCAACAAUUCCUGUCCUCUGACAAGUCGAAGCAGAAGUUCAGCUUUAUUAAAUCUAUGGACGAUAAGGCAUACAUACGACCUGGAACGUCAGAGGGACUUGAAAAGACUCGAAAUACCAAGAUUCUAACACUUAGCGGUGAAGGCGCAAGGCAGUUGCCGAAGUACGACUGGCCAGAGAAAGCAGUUUAUCAAACUCCCGCUGCACAUAGAAUAAUGGAAAAAGAGAGUAUAACUAUGGACGAUGAAUCUGAAAAGCUGAUAACCGUUAAUGAUAAUCACAUUGUUAUCGUACGCCCAAAGUCAUACGUGCCGUCAUCAGGAACAAUGUGGGCUAAUGAGACUCAUAGGUUAAGGUGUGUAUACCCAGAUAUGCACGAAGUUGAACCAGAAGAUGCCUUCGUCAAGUAUUCUGCAAAUUUUCGCCAGUUUUGUUCUUCGUUGUAUGGAGAUGUAUAUUUACUCGACGACAUGACUAUGGAAGAAGAUCUCAAGAAGAUGAGUGCAUCGGAACCAUGCCCUCACAAAGAAUAUGAGCUAAAACGUUUAACACAUUUUCUACACAGAGUUGAUAUCUGCUUUGAUGCAGUUGAGGUAACAAAGAAUGUGAUGAGUGAACAAGAAUGCGAAUUAAUCAAGAACAUUCAAAGCUCCAUGAUACCACUGAUUAACCAUUGCUCCAUAAUUGUAGAGGCGCUUAGGAAGGAUAACUGUCCAGAAAUCGGCAGUUUUAUGGAUAUGAAAUCACAAGCUGAUGAAAUUCUAAAGCACCUGGGUUCACUUAAGCUUCCGCAAGUCAAACCACGUUGGGCUGAGUUCACAGACGCUGGUCCAGGAGUGGGAGUUAACAAUGUUGAUGUUAAGGUUAGAAGUGCAGAGUUAGACAGGUUAUACAACCGCGAUUACCGUAUCCGAGUACACCGUUCAAGGGGUGAUAGUGGGCAGAAUGAGGCGGAGCGCACAAACUCUGCAAUUGGUGACGCUGUUGUUGAUGGAGCCACUAUCAAAUGGGAACAUUACAAACGUUUUCAUGGAAUGACGAAAGAGGAGAUAGCUGAUUUGACCAUCGAAGAAUUUGAUGCACUCGAAGACCAAAGGAUGGAACGGAAUGCGUGGAGAAUCACACACCAACUUGCUGAAAGAAUUGACGGUGCGCCCGUGUUAUCAGAUUUCAUCAAUGGUAUAGCAUCGGAAAGUCCAGAUGAUAUGUUCUUCUUUAAUGACAACUAUCUGUCGCAAUAUACAAGUAAAUCAAAGUCUCUUCGAGCAACUGUGCCUGGUGCUUCUUAUUUUGAUAAGAUAUUCACGUUCAUUGAACUACACCUGCAGACAGGGGAACUGUAUACGGAAUUUCUAAAGGAGUCAUGCAAGAAAACACUGGGUACUUCAUGUGAGUAUUGUCUGAAAAAUCCAUGGAGCGGCCCAGUAAUGACCCGUAUACCAAGACCAUUUCCAAGCGCCGAUGAUCUUCCAGAGUUCCAUUACAAGAAUGUUCAUAGCACUCCACUCACAGACAGCAAGGGAAAUGAUCGUGGUCCAGAUGACUGGCAGCCAAGAGCUAACAUUAAGAAGUUAUUUGAGCAAAAGAAAUUGUCCCUCGAAGACAAUGAAGAAAUCAAGAAAUUUUCCCAGGCAUUUAUUGUUGACGAAAAAUAUGUCAGAUCCUAUUUAGAACAUCUAUCGUCAUUGGAAACCAUCUCCAAAAUCCGGGAAAAGCAACGCAAAGAUGCAAGGCAAGAACGAAAAAAGAAGGAGGUUUCUGAUUACAACUGGCAGGAACUUAUUGAGAAUGGCAAGCUGCCAUCACUUGUCGUUUCAGAACUUGAUAAGUAUUUGAUCCAUUAUAACCUUUCAAAGACAGGGAAGAAAAAGGACAAAAUCAGGCGCAUUACCGUUCACUACUACAAUCAGGAUAGAAGAGCUGUGCCUGAUGAUCAACCUGUAGCAGAUUUUGAUCAACAAUUUGGUUCUGAAGAUAGUGAAAAUGAAAGUGACAGUGAUGAAGACCUCGUUUUGUGUGACAGCAGCAGUGACAGUGACAGUGAUAGUAGUGAUUGCGAUGGCGAUGAGGAAGGUGGCUCUGCAGAGGUACUUACAUCUAGAAGUGGCCGAAAAACUACACAAAAUUCAAGAUUUGCUGAUUUCGUUCUUUAUUAGUGUUUGCUGGCUCAAACGACAACGCUCUACGCCCACGCUCCCAUCCUCUUAUGGACUGUCCACUUCCAUAACAUAAUUAAUUGUUUUGUGUUGCAAGUUUAUCCCUGAAACAGAUUACAGGGCACUGGCAAGUGAACACUGGUACUGUUCUUGGAAACUUUCCUCAUAUUGCUCAAAGAGAGCUCUUGCUACAUUUGUAGCAUCCCGUUUUCGUGCUUUUGCAGUAGGGGUUGCAUUUCGCAGAUGCUCAGCCUCGUUAUUAGCGGCAAAUAUAAUAUUUUGCUUUGCUUUCCCCUUGAAGAAAUUUGAGGUGACUGGGAAGUAUGACAUAACCUCUGUGUAUCUGAUUGCACAGGCUUUACACUUCUGAAAUGAAUGUUCCUUUCUUCUAUUUUCAGAUAAACCUUGCCAUUUCUCUCUAGAGAAAGUCUCCAUAAACUCAUAUUCAUUAGGGGGCUUAGUUUCGAAGUAAGAAAGCUUUCAAACUUUGCAUUUUUGUUUAAAUCGUAUGUUCGGAGCAUGGAGAAAUCCCUUUCGGAUAUCUGCUAAUAACUUUUUAUACUUCACUUAUUACAAUUUUGCGCUUUGUCUCUUGCCAAAGCAAACAUUCCGCUGGCUAAACGUGUGAAAAUACGGUCUCACAUUUCCAAAAGCCUGUUAGUGCGGUAGAAUUUAGCUUUCCAAAGAAAGUCACUUUUUCUUUCAAAGAUUUUUGACAACGAUUUUCAUGUUAAGAUUGACAACUAAAAUGAUUCACGCCUUUAAAUAAAGUUACCAAUUUUGCUUUAUUCGAUCCUCAAUACAACUAUUAUCGCAUACAAGCCACAGCAAUAUAGUUUACUGGAAUUCACAGUAGUAGCAGUCCUCUAAUUAUUAUUUCAUCGACACAGACAGAACGCACAAUAUUUUUUUAAAACAAGCGGCAAGCAAGGUUUAUUCCAUAAGCUCAUUGAUGAAGUCGAGAGUGUCCAGCUUAUAAUCGGGGUCUCCAUCUUCGAUACAUAGUAGGCCAUGAAACUCACGGAAAAUUUCUGCGAAGAAAUUGUAAUUCUUCUGGCUCCAGACGGGCUGCAUUUAUAUUCACUAUUUCUUUCAGCUUUUUGCAUCCGCAUAAGCAUUCCACUGCUCUUACUGACAAUUGCGGGUUAUUGCUGAUAUUUAUAUUUUCCAAUUUUCUAAAAAAAUAUCUUCGCUUCACCAAACUCCGUAUCUUCUACUUCAGUGCAUCGUUCUAUGUCCUUUAGUUCUAUGUCUCUUAGUUUAGUUGAUGCUUUCAUGAGUCGUACAGCAUCAACUGAUGACGGCGAAAUUUGCCCUAGUGCAGAGGUUUCCUCAAUGUUCUGUAAAAAAAGUACACACAAACUUAAGAUUCCUUCUCAACUUCAUUUCUUGAAUAUCAGAACUUAUAAAAAAUACAAGGCAACUACAGUCAACUCCCUCAGAAGCAGACACGUCAGGAACUAAAAACAGUGUUACAAGGGCUGUCAGCUAAUGAAAAUGAAGAAAGACAUUGUUUGAAUGGAAAGGAAGACAAAACCCUGCAUUUUGUUAAGUUAUCCGCUUACAAUUCUUUCACUUAGACGGGAGUUUGCUGUACCUCAAUUUCAGGGUGUCAAACCCCAGGAUGUUUCGCUACAUUCAAGGAAUACAUCCGGGCUUGUUUGUAUUUACAUUUCACCCAGCUUAUAAAUCAGGCUCACAUUACUUAUAUUUACAUAUUCACAUCGUAAACUCAAAUGACAACUUCCCGUAAUAAAACUCUUUUAGUAAAAUAGAACGAGUAAAAUAUUUCGUUCCCUUCUGAACCAAUUAUUUGUCUCUCAAGUACUUAUUGACCUAUGAAUUUUUUACCUGGAAUGGUUUUAACGCGGCUUCAGCAGCGGCGCUGGUCUCAGAGGUUUCCGGUUGGAAAAACACGCUGGAACUCGAGGCAGCUGUAGACAGCUCUGCAAUUUUGAUUUUCGAAAUAAAUAACAAAUUGAAAAGGAGGAUCAAGACUGGUCAAGACAGUACAGAAACAGCAGAAUCUAUACGGCAAGCGACAGAACAUUGACUUUGAGAAAGAUCAUUUUUCUCACCUCGUGUGAAGUUUUCAUGCGUUGGUUUCCAAGCUCCAAAUCGACUCGCUGUCGACAGUAUAUACAAAUGCUUCUAGACCAGCCCUUUUUGCCUUUGUCAUCUAGCUCCAAGAAAACUUUCUCUACUCUGUUCGCCUUUCUCAGGGACCUCUGUUCCACAUCUGAAGGCUUACUGCCACACCAAGCCUCGUGGUUUGGGUAGCAACAUGCCUGCCUUUUGAACACCAUAACAAGCUUUUCUAACUUCUCGGACAAAGUUUGCAACCAAACAGAACUCAGAAACGUUUCUUUAAAGUAUAUACAAUAGAUUUUCAAACUAUUUUCGAAGAGAUAAUGAAUAGCUAUAGACUUGUCUUAAUAUAUCGAGGAGGAAGCAUGUAGAAUUCAAAAUGGCAACGUGAGCGCUAGGUCGGAAAUGUAACUUCCGAACAUACGAUUUGUACAAAACUCGGGGAUAAGUCGUAACAAUGCAACCUUUGUUUUAUUCUUAAUUUAAAUGUUUGUCAAUCAAUGGAUAAGAUACGGAAAACACCCGAAGAUGUAUUUUAGCCAAUCAGAGGGCAGGAUUUUACUGAAGUUUUUUUAGAUACUUCUGCGCAUGCGUUGUCGCAGGGUACCGUAGUUCUUACACGAACCAUUACUUAACUAAGAAAUCUCUUGCAAUUUUCGUCAUUUUCUUCAUGUAUUCAAUCAAUCUACUGCAACAAUGUCCAUCCGCCAUCUUGCUUUCAUUGUAUCUAUGGAAACUGACAACCGCUGAUCACUUUUUAGCUGAGCCUGCUUCGAUCUUUUCCAAAGAAAGAGUGUCAGCUUUUAUCGCUUUUGAAAAAACACCUUAGCUAUUAGGAAACUGCAACUCUCAAUCAUGUUUUAGAAGUUUAAUCCCUAAAUGAUUCAAAUCCAAGGUGUAAGUUUGAGAACAACUUUGAAAUACAAAUUUCCAGCUUACAUUUGUAUACUCUGGGUAUCCCUCCUUCAUUUAGCCUUGGAAUUUCGGAGUUUUAAUUGCGUCCUGUGUGUCGUCAGGGCGCCAGAAAAGAGGAUGUUUUUUUCACAAACUUGUAGCGGAGCCAGCGCGGCCGCAGGCAAUAACCCAGAUUCGAAUCCUGGUCACGGCAGCUUUUUCUACCUUACUGGUUCGUCUAUUUUACCAUCAUUUUAAUUUGAUAAAUGUUUAUUAAUUGGACUGCGUAUCAAUGAAUGUGUUGAAUGAAUGCAGUUUUUAGCGGAGCCAGCGCGGCCGCGGAGCUCCAUAGGUAUAGAAAUAUGGUAUAACUAUGCGACUUGGUUUUUGUGGCCAUCGCUCGGGUACUCUGUGUGUCACAAUCCAGUAAAUCGUGCAACUCCCAGGCCCCACUCGGCCCAACUAGAAAGGAGUCAUCGUGACAAGUGACACGUCAAUCACGAUGACGUCAUGAGGAUGUUAACUCAAUCACCAAACUGGACAUAACCGGUUUAUAACCAGUCUAACUGGAAAUAACAUUUUUUUACCACCGGCCCCAAACUUCCGUACUUAUGCUUCAAAGUUAGCAAUGCAGUUAUACAAUUAUUGAACACCCAGAGUUGAGCAAUUAUAGAAAGAAUCUUAAUUGUUCUCUAAGCAGAGAGGUAAUGUUAUUCUUUAUAUACUGGUUUUAAAUACCUGUCAAGGACUUCUGUGGUUUUCCUCCUGUAAAGCGGAUAAUAAUCCCAUGCCCAUAAUGCAUUACUUUGGUGUCU